rnacentral:rRNA from 1 species
UACGUAGGUGCCCAGCGUUGUCCGGAUUUACUGGGCGUAAAGAGCGCGCAGGCGGUCGUUCAAGUCGAGUGUGAAAGCCCCCGGCUCAACUGGGGAGGGUCACUCGAUACUGAUCGACUUGAAGGCAGGAGAGGGAAGCGGAAUUCCCGGUGUAGUGGUGAAAUGCGUAGAUAUCGGGAGGAACACCAGUGGCGAAGGCGGCUUCCUGGCCUGUUCUUGACGCUGAGGCGCGAAAGCUAGGGGAGCAAACGGG